ACCAUCCCAAGCGUACCCCACCCUUCCUGCCUUGCUUUCCUCACCCCCCCGCAGCGAGCUAAACAUUCGGCGUAGGGACGGCGCGGGUGGUGGAGGGUAGGGAGGGGGAUAGAGGGGGACGGGUCCGCGCUAUGCCUGGUGCUGGGCAAGUCUAACUCGCUGCGCGGGUGGUUGCGGGUUGGUGCGGUAAGGUGGUGGGGGCUACUGUCUUCUGGGCCCUAUAAGCGAUCGUAAUCAAAUACUACCAGAAAGAGGCCGAACAAAUUUGCUGGUGCUGCGCUGGAUGAAUCGUUUCAGGAGAAUUUGAAAACAAGAACCCCUUUUUUAAGAGCUGUUAACGUUUUGGUGAAUCUUAUGUUUUGCAUCACGAAGAUGGUGGAGAUUCGGCCGUAAGUUACCAGAAGGCAGUCAAAAAUUAUAUUUCGGUAACAGUUGGCCGGGUUUAACUUCAAGUGAAAGAACUAAAAGUUGGGCUCAUCUUGCAUUAUCGAGGAAAACAUUUGCUGAGGACUUCGUACGACGCUCCCAGGCAAGAAUGGAAGUGCACCCAGCGUUAAGUGGCCAAUGUGUUCAUUACAGGUUUUUUUAAGGUACUGUUUACGUGACAUUUUGCAUCGUGACGUGAUAAUUUCUGUCUGGAAAGUCAGCCUUAUUGGCAUAUAAAUUCUCUUGUUCUAUGUAAGUAAAAUUGAACUGUUCUUUACUUUAAAUAGUUAAACAACUUAAAAGCGUUGUUAUCUGUGCCAACAAGGAGACUGCAGUUUGUUGUGUCGUAAUAAACCUUUUGGCUUCCUAAGUUUUUGGUGCAGAAUGCUAAUAUGUGAAAGCUCAUUGAUCUUGAAAUAAAAAUAUAAUUUAUGUCUUGAA